rnacentral:rRNA from 1 species
CCUACGGGAGGCAGCAGUGAGGAAUUUUCCGCAAUGGGCGCAAGCCUGACGGAGCGACGCCGCGUGAGGGACGAAGGCUUUCGGGUUGUAAACCUCUUUUGUGGGGGAAAAAGGCUUGGGUAUGCAUAAUAUUCGAGUUUGAUGGUACUCCAUGAAUAAGCCCCGGCUAACUACGUGCCAGCAGCCGCGGUAAUACGUAGGGGGCGAGCGUUGUCCGGAGUUACUGGGCGUAAAGGGCGUGUAGGCGGUUGGAUAAGUCUGGUGUGAAAUGCCGGAGCUUAACUUUGGCACUGCGCUGGAAACUGUCUGACUGGAGUUCGGUAGGGGUAACUGGAAUUCCCGGUGUAACGGUGAAAUGUGUAGAUAUCGGGAGGAACACCCGUGGCGAAGGCGGGUUACUGGGCCGCAACUGACGCUGAGACGCGAAAGCGUGGGGAGCAAACAGGAUUAGAUACCCCUGUAGU